AGUGAACGCUGGCGGUAGGCCUAACACAUGCAAGUCGAACGGCAGCACAGGAGAGCUUGCUCUCUGGGUGGCGAGUGGCGGACGGGUGAGGAAUACAUCGGAAUCUACCUUGUCGUGGGGGAUAACGUAGGGAAACUUACGCUAAUACCGCAUACGACCUUCGGGUGAAAGUGGGGGACCGCAAGGCCUCACGCGAUUAGAUGAGCCGAUGUCGGAUUAGCUAGUUGGCGGGGUAAAAGCCCACCAAGGCGACGAUCCGUAGCUGGUCUGAGAGGAUGAUCAGCCACACUGGAACUGAGACACGGUCCAGACUCCUACGGGAGGCAGCAGUGGGGAAUAUUGGCCAAUGGGCGUAAGCCUGCUCCAGCCAUACCGCGUGGGGGAAGAAGGCCUUCGGGUUGUAAAGCCCUUUUGUUGGGAAAGAAAUCUUGCCGGUUAAUACCUGGCGAGGAUGACGGUACCCAAAGAAUAAGCACCGGCUAACUUCGUGCCAGCCGCCGCGGUAACAC
rnacentral:rRNA from 1 species